AAUCAUGGAUUUAUAAUCUACCAUGGAUGUUGUUGUUUAUUCUAUAUUAUCCAUUUUCUUGCCUUUUUUUUACUGGUUUUAACAAUAUCAGAUACAUAUCCUUGGUAUCUUAUUAAUUAUUAUUUAUUUGAAUUCUUUUCGAACUUUUGAUCACUUUUCAUAUUUCAAACAAAUAAAUAAUCCCUUUUGGUUGAAUUGUUCUAUAAUGUCAAACUUGUAAAGCCCCAGUUAGGACUUGUUUGAUGCGCAGAAAAAAAAAAAGAAGAGAAAAAUAUAGUCAAUGGAAAAAUAAAGAAAAAUCUUUUGUUUAGUUGUUUGUUAGUUGUUUGGUUGAAGUUUUCAAAAAAUAAAAAAUAAAAAAAUAGCGUUGACAUGUGAAUGAGAUUUUUAUGUUCCAUAGAAGAAAAAGAUUCAUGAGAGAUGUGAGAAAACUACUUUACCACUAGUUAAAAAUUGAUUUUUUUUUCUAAAACUAUUCUUAAACCAUCAAAAUCCAUUGGCAAUGUCUUUCUUUAUUAAGGAUAUAAUAGAUAUUUUAUACAAUUUUUUUCAAGAAAGUAGAUGCUUAAUCAAACAUAAAUCACUUUGAAAUGUACCACUUUUCUAUGGUCAACCAAAUAUGCUAAAACUAUUUUCUCAUGUAUCAUAUCUUCAGGAAUCAGCUUCUCAAAAAAAAUAUUUUGGUGAAAUUUUUUUUUCUUACGAACUAAACGAUCUCUUAGCGUUCGUGGAAAGUGGCCCAUGAUACUUGGCUUGGAGCUGUAUCUCUGGAGUUUACAUCCCUCCAUAUUUAAGUUUAAUACCUCCUCCCACCUUAACUGCCUGCCCCUCCACCACAAAAAUUCAAUCAGAAAAAAAAAA
rnacentral:lncRNA from 1 species